rnacentral:rRNA from 1 species
UACGGAGGGAGCGAGCGUUGUUCGGAAUUACUGGGCGUAAAGGGUGCGCAGGCGGCUAUGCAAGUUGGGAGUGAAAUCCCGGGGCUUAACCUCGGAAUUGCUUUCAAAACUGCAUAGCUAGAGUCUCGGAGAGGUUGGCGGAAUUCCCAGUGUAGAGGUGAAAUUCGUAGAUAUUGGGAGGAACACCAGUGGCGUAAGCGGCCAACUAGACGAGUACUGACGCUCAAGCACGAAAGCGUGGGGAUCAAACAGG